UGCAGAGAAGCUCCAGGCUUGACCUAUGGAAGACGAGCUUAAGGAUCUGACGACAUGGGAGAGUUUGUAAUGUUACACUCUGGUGUGUUUGAUUACCUGCCAGCCUCAGGUUGCCUUGUUUUGUUACCUGAUCACAUCUAGGAUUGGGUUACAUCAAUUGCCACACAGUCAAUGAGAUCUUCAUCGCUGCGUUCCUCCUCUGCUUGCCGACUUCUCAGCCAUUCCUCUCGUGCUUUCUUCACUUCUUGGCCAUAAUAAUCGUGAAGUUUGCGGAAGUCCUCAAGCGGGUCAAAACCCACCAAAGGCCAUUCCCCGUACAGAGGUGCUGGUCCAUUCAGCGGUGUGACGUCUCUCACCAGCAGGGAGAGGUAACAGUGGCUGGCCGACAGCAAAGCCUUCACCCAGCUCUCCUGUGUCUGUCGAUCCACUGCUGCAAACCUGUAGGUUUUGAGUCCAGGACCGAACACCAGGGAAAAGGCGAACUGUGCAU